rnacentral:rRNA from 1 species
UACGAAGGGGGCUAGCGUUGCUCGGAAUUACUGGGCGUAAAGCGUGCGCAGGCGGUUAUGUAAGACAGAUGUGAAAUCCCCGGGCUCAACCUGGGAACUGCAUUUGUGACUGCAUAGCUAGAGUACGGUAGAGGGGGAUGGAAUUCCGCGUGUAGCAGUGAAAUGCGUAGAUAUGCGGAGGAACACCGAUGGCGAAGGCAAUCCCCUGGACCUGUACUGACGCUCAUGCACGAAAGCGUGGGGAGCAAACAGG